GCAAGAGGGUGACAUCAAAGACAGCUUUAAUUCUCUAACUGGGAGAAUUCACCCUCUUUGAAAUCCUGAGAAGUUAAAGAUUGUAGAAUCAGAGCUACAUACAGUAGUGGACUUGCAAUGUGCUGCUGUAGUGUGGAGACCACACAGCUGUGGCCACACGGACAGAAGGAAGUUCCUGACCUGCCCAGGUGUUCCAAGUACCCCAGCCCAGCUGCCACACAUCCUGCUUCUCCGGACCCCAGAGAGUCACUCUAGACGAGAAUGCUCCUCACCAUGUUCCGCAGCCCACUGAGAACUGCUUUAUCUGUGAUCCUCAGAGCUACUCUGAACACCACAAGGCAGAUCCACCAGUACUGGUUCUCUCAAAACCUUCUUCCAUCUUUCACCUUCUCUGAUGCCAUCCUGGGGCCUCCAGCACAUGCUGACAUCCAACAAAUCUGCCCAUGCAAGAACAUUUGUGCCGGUCAUUUCCCAAGACUCAUCUGUAACAUUCUGGUGCUCAGUUAAGUAAAGAAUGUGUAAAGAAUCAGGAUGCAGUGUAGUAAUUAACAGUGGAACAACUGUUUCAGAGUGUUUGCACUUAAUAAUAUGACACUGAUAAAUAUUUCAAUAAAUAUAGAUCUACACAACUAUUUUUAAUGAUUGAAUAAUAUUCCAUUCUGGAUAUAUGUCAUUUAUUUCAUAAAUGUCUCACUGAUGAAAUCAUUUUUUAACUUUGACUGUCCUUAAUAGCACUGCAGUUAAUAUUUUGCUAAUCUAAUAAUGAAAAACAGCUCUUGUGCUUUCAUUUCUAUUCUUAAUCUUUAGUGAGUUUUAAUUUUUUGUAGGCUAUUUAUAUUCACAGAUGAAUUACUACCUUCAUUUUUCUGUAAAAUGUUUUCAUCUUAUUGAUUCAUAAGAACGCUUUGUAUAUUAGAGAUACCAACCCUCCCAUCUGUUAUAUCAUUCAUGUGUCACAAGUAUUUUUCAAGUUGGUUCACUUCUUUUCAAAUAUAUCUUUAUAAUACUUUUACUACAGCAAAACCUUAAUUUUUGCAUGUAUUUCUGGAGCAAUACUUGUGAAAUUUUUUUUAAAUGACAUUGUUCUUACUUUAAGAAGAAAGCAAACAUUAUGAAAGAGGAUGCAAACUGAGAUGAUUUUUAAAAUAAACUAGGAAGCAUUAAAGAAAUAUCCAUAUACAUGUGCGGAAAUGCUCAACAAGCAGUGCUUUAAAAAGAUCAAGAUUAAGUCUUUUCUUCUCUUUUGUUUUGUUUUGUUUUCUUUCCAUUUUAGGCAAUACUUCACUGUGUAGCUCAGGCAGGACUCUAUCUCAAUUUGUGGGUCAGGCUGGACUCAAACCCACUGUGAGCCUCCUGCUUCUGCCUCCUGAGUGCUAGGAUUUCAGGUGUGUGCCACCAUGCACAGCAAAAUUAAGUUUUCAACAUGAAUGCAAAGUUUUACUGUAUGACCUCUCUCACCUUGCACCACUCAUGAGCUUCAACUUCAGACCCAGAAAAUUAUGUUUUAAGUAUCACUGGCUUUCCAUAUCUGUGUGUCCCAUACCUAUGGAUUCUACCAACCACAAAUCAAAAAAUAUUUAGAAAAAAAAAUUACAACAGUACUGACUAUGCAAAAUGUACAAGCUUUUGUCCUGUC